rnacentral:rRNA from 1 species
UACAGAGGUCCCGAGCGUUUGUUCGGAUUCAUUGGGCGUAAAGGGUGCGUAGGCGGUUUUCUAAGUUUGAUGUGAAAUCCCGGGGCUUAACCCUGGAAUUGCAUUGAAUACUGGGAGACUAGAGUACUGGAGAGGAAACUGGAAUUUACGGUGUAGCAGUGAAAUGCGUAGAGAUCGUAAGGAAGACCAGUGGCGAAGGCGAGUUUCUGGACAGUUACUGACGCUGAGGCACGAAGGCCAGGGGAGCAAACGGG